CAUAAAAAUGAAAGGUCGGAGAUGAAGCAAUGGUUUGGUCCGUUUGGAUAAUAUAUAUCCGAGAGAAGAGUCUCCAAAACUUUCUUUAAAUGUUGAAGAUGAAACCACUUUUGUGAUCAUUUGAUAUUAUAUUAAUAAAUAAUUUACUCUCCAUUACUAAUCAUCUAGUUCACUACUAUCAGUCUUUCGUUCUCAUUUGUAUACUUUUUUUUCAAUACUAGUUAUACUAAUUCGAACUAAACCUUGAUUCAGAAAAUCAAAUUGAUAAUCGUAAUCAUUAUAAAACAUAGUAAAAACAAUUUUGAACACUUGGUCUAAGUUUGUCCAUUUUUAUACUUUUUACUCUUUAAAAAUAUUUAAUUGUAAAAUUAGAUAGUGGCAACCAGAAAUUUUUUGUAUAAUGUUAUCCAAAAAAUGAAAAGUAGAUGGUGGCAACUUGAUCUCAUCUGCCUCAACUUACAGCAGUCGACGUUGCUUCUCUUUUGGUCGGCGUGUGUACCGUCGAUCCAGUCCGAGUAUUUUCUUCUUCUAUUGUAGUUUGUGUGUGGUUCUGAACUUGCUGGUUGACGUUCGUCGUUGAUUUAUCAUGGUGGAUUCUACCAGGUUUUAACCUUAUGUCCCUCUUCGUUCAGUUUCUGUUUUGGUCAUCUUGUAGAGUUUUUCUUAGUUGGUCUUUGAUUCAACAACCGUGAAGCAGCGGCAUGGGAUGAACAGUUGGUUGGUAUUGUCAUCGAGAAGAAGCUGAUUUCAGGACACCUCUCCAUCUUGUUGUUGCUAAGGGUCUUUUUCCGUCCCUUGAAUAAGGUUAUUUUCGUAGUCGUUUUGGUUUUUGUUUAUCUUUGAUGGCUUUUGUGUGUUGAAGCAGUAUAAGAGAUUAAGACUUUGAAGCGUCCAGAUAAAGGGUACAUUGAGUAGGGAGUUUAAUUUGUAUCGGGUGUUGCUUCUCUUUAGGUGUUGUUUUGGCUUCACAAAGUGGUUUGUGUGUAGUCAUCGUGAACAAGUGGUUCAGAUGAGAGUGAUGCUAUUCUUCAUGAAGUCCUCUGCGGUGCAUGCUCUCUUGCUUUGUUCGUAGCAAGAAGACCGGCUAGUCGUAGUCAAUUAAAUUUUUGUUCUAUUAUUUCUUGUUACCUUGUUUCUUGGAUUCUUUUAGUAAGGUGUAGUUAUGGUUUAUUUGUAUUGUUUAGCUGCUCAUGUUUUAUCUUUUUGAGCUUAAGUUUUUCACUAUUGAAAUUUGGUUUUCCGAGAUUAGUGCAUGUUCUGUCGGAUUGAGUGUUUCGCCAUGUA